rnacentral:lncRNA from 1 species
GGCGCGGAGCCUGUAACUAUCGCAAGCAGCUUGGUGUACACGGUGUGUGCAGUCUGAUGGUACAUACAUUGGAGAGCGAUGGUGCAAGCCCAAGCUCGAAGGCACAAAAGGUCGUUGCCGGUGGUGUCGCGAACAGAGAAAAAGUCAUGCAAGCGUGCUCCCGAGCGGUCAUAGAGAGACACACACAACGCAAGCACGUUCACAUACGAAAAGGUUUUCUUCGUGUUUAUCGUUUAUAAUAGUUAAAACAAA